AACGUAGGUUCCGAGCGUUAUCCGGAUUUACUGGGCGUAAAGCGCGUUCAGGCGGUUUGGCACGUCGGGCAUGAAAUCUCUCGGCUCAACCGGGAGAGGUUGUCCGAUACUGCUGGACUUGAGGGCAGUAGAGGGUGGUGGAAUUCCGGGUGUAGUGGUGAAAUGCGUAGAUAUCGGGAGGAACACCAGUGGCGAAGGCGACUACCUGGCCCAUUCUUGACGCUGAGGCGCGAAAGCUAGGGGAGCGAACGGG
rnacentral:rRNA from 1 species